UGAACACUAAUCUGCCCAGGGAUAUAAAGAAGAGAUAAGAGUAGAGAAGGUAACGUGACAGGUAACAUGAUGGAAGUCUGUGCAAAGGGCAGGGAGGGAAUGGCUCACCCCUCCCUGCUGAAGGUGCUGCUUAACCAGGACUCUCACUCAUUUCCACCACUUCCUGGACAAGCCUGUCAGAGCUGCAAAAGAAGUGGACAAAUGAGCUAAUGCUACGUCAUCCUCAUCACAGCUCAUGUGAAUAGAGCCCUUUCUGUGUUCCAGGCCCGAGGAUUCUUUGCUUAUGUUAACGCGCGUAACCCUCACCACAGUCUAACAAGGUUAAGAUUUUCUUCUCAUGUCAAAAGUUCCUCCUUCGCUCAUCUACUUGAAACAAAAUCCACUCCAGUCAUUGCCUUUUGGAUUUGGGGCCCAGGCCGAAACGGCUUGCCUCCAGCAACAGCCAGUCCCAGGAUGUUCCUCCAAAACAGGUUGUUUCCCAUAACCCUCCCACACCUUUACUGAACUCUCCACAAUGACCUUGUUCAAGAGGACUGCUUCUGUCUAACCAGGAGGGCUGCCAGGCCCUGGACUCAUCCAGAGGGAAAUGUGCAGGAAGAGAUGCAGUGAAGGAAACCAACUAGACUUGUGCACAACAUUUAGUUCUGAGUCUCCUAGCAGCCAAGUCAAAAAGAAUAAAGUAUAUCAUGUAACAGAAUAAGAUUUCUUUUUUUACAAUGAACCCUGAGUGGAAUUUUUCACAUGUUUAUUUAUGCGACAGAAGAUUUCUUAAUGUUCAUGCAUACCUUUGCUUUCAUAGUGCUCUGAAUCCUGUGUAGGAAGAAGUGAUCAGCAUCAGGGUCAAAUUUAGAAGUGAUGCAAGAGUGAGGAAGAUUUAGCAGCAUGAGAGAAGGUCCAGUGAUCAGGCCAAUGAGGUAACUACACUGCCAGAAACUCUGUCUUACUCACUAUGGUAUCCCCACCAUCUAGAAUAGUACCUGGCACAUAGAAGAAUACAUACGUGUUGGUUAAAACGAUGAAAAUCUUAAAAUCUUUGUAUUGUCACAUUUUGGCCUCUUGUAUGUUACAGCCUCCAAAUGCCACUUUAGUUUGAGAAAAACACGGUAUUGUAGAACAUGGUUCUCAGACUUGACUGCACGUUGGCGUUAUCUGAAGAGCUGAGUUAAAUAUUGUUGCCUGGAUCCCACACUCAGCUCUUCUGAUUUUAUUCGUUUUGGAGUCGGCCAGGGCAUCAGACUUUUUUUUCUUUCAAUGUGAUCCAGGCAAUUCUGUUGUGCAUCCCAAGUUGAGAACAUAGAAGUGGAACAUGUUCUGAGAUUGGAGUCAGGACACCUGGUUUUAGGCCUCGAUCAACCAACAAUUGCCUGGUUAAGAAAAAGCACAGAGUUCAAC
rnacentral:lncRNA from 1 species